rnacentral:rRNA from 1 species
CGUUGCUCGGAAUUAUUGGGCGUAAAGCGCACGUAGGCGGUUUGUUAAGUCGGAUGUGAAAUCCCUCGGCUCAACUGAGGAAGUGCAUCCGAAACUGGCAAGCUUGAGUACGAAAGAGGGUCGCGGAAUUCCCGGUGUAGAGGUGAAAUUCGUAGAUAUCGGGAGGAACACCGGUGGCGAAGGCGGCGACCUGGGUCGAUACUGACGCUGAGGUGCGAAAGCGUGGGGAGCAAACAGG